rnacentral:rRNA from 1 species
CCUACGGGGGACAGCAGUGAGGAAUAUUGGUCAAUGGGCUUACGCCUGAACCAGCCAAGUCGCGUGAGGGAAGACUGCCCUAUGGGUUGUAAACCUCUUUUGUCAGGGAGCAACGCCGGCUACGUGUAGCCGGACUGAGAGUACCUGAAGAAAAAGCAUCGGCUAACUCCGUGCCAGCAGCCGCGGUAAUACGGAGGAUGCGAGCGUUAUCCGGAUUUAUUGGGUUUAAAGGGUGCGUAGGCGGAAUGCCAAGUCAGCGGUAAAAGCGCGGGGCUCAACCUCGCUCCGCCGUUGAAACUGGCGUUCUUGAGUGGGCGAGAAGUAUGCGGAAUGCGUGGUGUAGCGGUGAAAUGCAUAGAUAUCACGCAGAACUCCGAUUGCGAAGGCAGCAUACCGGCGCCCAACUGACGCUGAAGCACGAAAGCGUGGGUAUCGAACAGGAUUAGAUACCCUAGUAGUC